rnacentral:rRNA from 1 species
AUACGGGGGGUGCAAGCGUUGUCCGGAUUUAUUGGGCGUAAAGGGCUCGUAGGCGGUCUGUCACGUCGGAUGUGAAAACUCGGAGCUCAACUCCGGGCCUGCAUCCGAUACGGGCAGACUAGAGUUCGGUAGGGGAGAUUGGAAUUCCUGGUGUAGCGGUGGAAUGCGCAGAUAUCAGGAGGAACACCGAUGGCGAAGGCAGAUCUCUGGGCCGAUACUGACGCUGAGGAGCGAAAGCGUGGGGAGCAAACAGGAUUAGAAACCCCAGUAGUCC